rnacentral:misc_RNA from 1 species
UAGAAUAUGUGCAAGAUUCGUACGAAAGGGUCAACAAAUCAGAGGUGGUACUGGUGCUAGUUUAUUUGGAUUGAGACGAAAAUAAAUUAAUAUGUCACAUAACCAGUUAUUAAAAUGCACGGCAUCACAAAUCUUGUAGUCCCUGUAACAAGCGAUAGUGCUUGUUAUAUUUCAGUGGUGGAGCAUAAUUUUGAGAAACAGUAAAAACUCACGUAUCAAAGAUUGACUCUGCGUGGGAUUGGGCUGCCCAGCCGCCCUUGCGCCUCCAUCUAGCCCAACAAGCUCGCAGCAGCAGGAUGGGUGAAAUGGUGAUAGGAGAACGGCCACCAUCUCCUGCUCGCUUAGCACAUACUUCGGAAAAACAUCCAAGAGUUACUCUGACGGAGUUAAAUGUACUGCGAAGGCACCGUGAACUCUGUGAUGUGGUUCUCAAUGUUGGCACCCGAAAGAUCUUUGCUCACAGAGUAAUACUGUCGGCAUGCAGUCCUUAUUUUCGAGCUAUGUUUACUGGGGAGCUGGCAGAGUCACGUCAGACAGAAGUUACUAUCAGAGAUAUAGACGAGCUGGCAAUGGAGCUGCUGAUUGAUUUUUGUUACACGUCUCACAUUGUGGUUGAAGAAGGAAAUGUGCAGACCCUCCUUCCUGCCGCCUGCUUGCUGCAGUUGGCAGAAAUACAGGAUAUAUGUUGCGAGUUCCUAAAACGCCAGCUGGAUCCAUCGAAUUGUUUGGGUAUUCGUGCAUUUGCUGACACGCAUUCAUGCCGAGAGUUGUUAAGGAUAGCUGAUAAGUUUACUCAACAUAAUUUUCAGGAGGUAAUGGAAAGUGAAGAAUUUUUACUGUUGCCUGUUGGUCAAUUAGUAGAUAUUAUUUCGAGUGAUGAACUGAAUGUGAGAUCUGAAGAGCAAGUAUUUAGUGCUGUAAUGGCUUGGGUGAAGUAUAAUGUCUCAGAAAGGAGGCAGCACUUAGCACAGGUACUGCAACAUGUUCGACUUCCUCUUCUAAGUCCAAAAUUUUUAGUUGGAACUGUGGGUUCUGAUCUCCUUGUACGAAGUGAUGAGGCGUGCAGAGAUCUUGUUGAUGAGGCCAAAAACUACCUCCUCCUGCCUCAAGAAAGGCCAUUAAUGCAGGGUCCAAGAACAAGACCAAGGAAACCCACAAGGCGUGGUGAAGUUCUUUUUGCAGUUGGAGGAUGGUGCAGUGGGGAUGCAAUAGCUUCCGUGGAACGGUUUGAUCCUCAAUCAGCUGACUGGAAAAUGGUUGCACCAAUGAGUAAACGAAGAUGUGGUGUUGGUGUUGCUGUACUAAACGAUUUACUGUACGCAGUUGGUGGCCAUGAUGGGCAGUCCUACCUGAACAGCAUAGAAAGAUAUGACCCCCAGACAAAUCAGUGGUCUUGUGAUGUGGCACCUACAACAUCGUGUCGCACAAGUGUAGGAGUGGCAGUACUGGAUGGCUUUUUGUAUGCAGUUGGAGGGCAAGAUGGAGUACAGUGUCUCAAUCAUGUAGAAAGAUAUGACCCAAAAGAAAACAAAUGGAGUAAAGUUGCACCUAUGACCACACGGCGACUAGGUGUUGCAGUAGCUGUUCUUGGAGGUUUUCUUUAUGCUAUUGGAGGGUCAGAUGGCCAGUGUCCGCUUAAUACAGUGGAGCGCUACGACCCUAGGCAGAACAAGUGGUCGCCUGUGUCCCCCAUGUCAACACGACGCAAGCACUUGGGCUGUGCCGUGUUUAACAAUCUCAUAUAUGCUGUUGGGGGCAGAGACGACUGCAUGGAGCUGUCCAGCGCCGAGCGGUAUAAUCCACACUCAAACACAUGGAGCCCAAUUGUUGCUAUGACAUCGCGAAGAAGUGGGGUUGGAUUAGCUGUCGUAAAUGGACAGCUGUAUGCUGUGGGAGGUUUUGAUGGAACUGCAUAUUUAAAGACAAUAGAGGUUUAUGACACAGAGCAGAACCAGUGGAGGUUAUGUGGUGCAAUGAACUAUCGUCGUCUUGGUGGUGGAGUUGGAGUCAUGCGUGCUCCGCAGACAGAGAACUAUUUCUGUAAAAGGAAGAUACCUGGAUAGAAUUGGUCAUCAAGAUUCCUGCAGUCACUGCUGUAUGCUAUUAACUCAUCUGCAAAAUAUUUUGGGAGACCAAGGAACACACGUGUCAAAUAACUGUGUGUAUUCUGAACAUCCAUUUUUGUAACUUCAGGUACAUAGGACAACUAAUGUAUCAUACUAAUGUAUGAUUGUGGAGCAGUGCUUUUAUAUUGUUGUAUUUGCUUAGGAUGCCGCUGUGGCCAUUUAUUUGAUUUAUUGGGUUAUUUAGAUCCUUCCUAUAAGUACAAACAGUAAAUACAUAGUUAUUAUCAUAUUGCAGCAUCACAACAAUUACUACUGAUGCAGGACACACUAAAGUUUUUACUGACAUUUAGUUUUAUAUGUAAAUGUAAGAAACUAUGUAAGGCUGACAAAAUGUGUUAGAUAUCUUUAGCCACAGUCUCUUUUGUGAAAAAUUGACAAUGAGGAAUGUAUUUUAAGGGAGGGUGGAAACUUGAUUCAGCAAUAAGUUAAGAUUUUGAUUUUCUGUAACAAGAAACUUUCUGUAACCUGUCCCUUUAGUUAGUUUAGUUUGAAACUUUAAUCUUCAUACAUUUAGAGGUGAUGUAGCAUUUGUUAAAUGACUGGCACAGAAAGAGGCAGAGGUCAUGCAACAGGAAAAAGUAGAAAAAUCAUUUUAGGUGCUCUCUGCUCGUGGUUCACAAGUGUAUGUCAUAUUCUUUCCAGUUGUUUGACAGAACAGAUGAAGAACUGAUUGAUUAAAUGGAGUCAGAUAUGUUCAGUAUAUGCUUUCUGUCCAAUGGGGCGUUACAGUAUAUUAAUGCAGCAGUCUCUCCCACAUCUUCAUUACAAAAUUUAAUAAUUUCCAGUACACUUCUUAAUUCAUACCUCCUGCCCCUUAUUCCUUUAUGCAUCUUAGGAUGUCCACAAAGCUCAUCAAAUCACAGCAGUUUCCAGUGAUAACAGCUGUGGAAUCUGUAGUUUGCAUGUAACCUCACAGCCACUUCCUCUGGUUCGGCCCCACUCUUUGCAGAAGCAUUAUCUUUUACACAUUGCUGCCAUUGUGAUAGCAAGAUUUCUAUGCUGGAAAGAACAUACACGAGGAUGAAAUAAGUGAGAACAGAAAACUGUUACUGGCCUAUUUGUGUUCUGUUCCAUCCGUUAACAUUAAAAUUCAGUAAAUGACAUUAGAAGCCUGGUGUGAAAAGCUAAUGAAGCUCACAUAAAAUAAAUCACACAGUACUGCACAGGUUUAUAAUAGCUCCCCUGCCC